CCGUAUUCGUAGUCGUUGACUUUGUCGCUCCUCCCCGAUCCGGAGCCCUUGGUAUAGCGGCCAAGGAACCUCGCCUCUCCAGAAAACCCAUCCAAGAAUCUUCACAUCCAGAAGAAGAAAAGUCAGGUAGGAAGGAAACAGUUCAUGAUUUGGCGAAGUUCAUCGACAAAGGCGUCCAGGUCAAGUUAACUGGGGGAAGACAAGAAAGCUGCUUGUGUACCUCGAUAAGGACCAUUAGAAGUAAACCUGGUAGGCAUACGUUGAAGUGAAAAGGUUAUGAUCAACUGCUAAACUUGGUGCUAGACAAAGCGACAGAGUUCCUGAGAGAUCCUGAUGAUCCACUGAAGACAACUGAUCAAACCAGGCGCCUUGGUCUAAUCAUACGUAGGGGGCCUGCUGUAAUGCUGGUCUCGCCAACAGAUGGAACAGAUGAAAUUGCAAACCCCUUUAUCCAACUGGAUGGAACAAGUAGAUUUCGUACUUGUUAAUCAAAUGAUCUCCGUAUCUUUUAUUAGCAGUUUGCCGCUUUGUUAUAACAAAUUUUUAUUUGAGAAAAAAAUCAUUUUAGUGGCACUUCAAACUGUCUGGAUAUUAAUCUGAUCAUUACCCCCCACUGGUUUCAAGUAUUUCACACCUCUAGUCUGCUCUGUUUUGAAUUAUUACCUGGAUGUGUUUCACCAUAUUUUGACAUUGUGUUUAGAGCUGUAAAACUCCCCCCUAGUAAAUUCUGAUUAGUCUUCAGAUA